UACGUAGGUCCCGAGCGUUGUCCGGAUUUAUUGGGUGUAAAGCGAGCGCAGGUGGUUUAUUAAGUCUGGUGUAAAAGGCAGUGGCUCAACCAUUGUAUGCAUUGGAAACUGGUAGACUUGAGUGCAGGAGAGGAGAGUGGAAUUCCAUGUGUAGCGGUGAAAUGCGUAGAUAUAUGGAGGAACACCGGUGGCGAAAGCGGCUCUCUGGCCUGUAACUGGCACUGAGGCUCGAAAGCGUGGGGAGCAAACAGG
rnacentral:rRNA from 1 species